UUGCCUUACCAAGUGGGUGGGGGGUCAGUGCUAACAAGGCCAAUUCAAUUAGGGUGGAUGUAGCUCAUUCCAACAGUUGACAAUAUGUUAAUACCAAGGGACGGG